UAGAGUUUGAUUAUGGCUCAGGACGAACGCUGGCGGCGUGCUUAACACAUGCAAGUCGAACGGAAAGGCCCUGCUUUUGUGGGGUGCUCGAGUGGCGAACGGGUGAGUAACACGUGAGUAACCUGCCCUUGACUUUGGGAUAACUUCAGGAAACUGGGGCUAAUACCGGAUAGGAGCUCCUGCUGCAUGGUGGGGGUUGGAAAGUUUCGGCGGUUGGGGAUGGACUCGCGGCUUAUCAGCUUGUUGGUGGGGUAGUGGCUUACCAAGGCUUUGACGGGUAGCCGGCCUGAGAGGGUGACCGGCCACAUUGGGACUGAGAUACGGCCCAGACUCCUACGGGAGGCAGCAGUGGGGAAUAUUGCACAAUGGGCGGAAGCCUGAUGCAGCAACGCCGCGUGCGGGAUGACGGCCUUCGGGUUGUAAACCGCUUUCGCCUGUGACGAAGCGUGAGUGACGGUAAUGGGUAAAGAAGCACCGGCUAACUACGUGCCAGCAGCCGCGGUAAU
rnacentral:rRNA from 1 species